CGGGAAGACCACCAGUGGCGAAGGCUGUCUGCUAGGACGCGCCCGACGGUGAGGGAUGAAAGCUGGGGGAGCGAACCGGAUUAGAUACCCGGGUAGUCCCAGCUGUAAACGAUGCAGGCUAGGUGUUUGGACGGCCACGUGCCGUUCUAGUGCCGCAGGGAAGCUGUUAAGCCUGCCGCCUGGGGAGUACGAUCGCAAGAUUGAAACUUAAAGGAACUGGCGGGGGAGCACCACAAGGGGUGAAGCUUGCGGUUUAAUUGGAUUCAACGCCGGG
rnacentral:rRNA from 1 species